rnacentral:rRNA from 1 species
UUCGCAAUGCCCGAAAGGGUGACGAAGCGACGCCGCGUGGGUGAGGAAGGCCUUCGGGUUGUAAAGCCCUGUCAGGAGUUAAGAAAUGUAGACUCGCUAAUAUCGGGUCUAUUUGACAAAGGCUCCAAAGGAAGCCACGGCUAACUCUGCGCCAGCAGCCGCGGUAAUACAGAGGUGGCAAGCGUUGUUCGGAAUUGUUGGGCGUAAAGAGCACGUAGGUGGAUUUGUAAGUCGGACGUGAGAGCCUUCUGUUCAACGGAAGAAUUGCAUCUGAAACUACAAACCUUGAGUGUAGGAGGGGAGAAUGGAACUUCUGGUGGAGCGGUGAAGUGCGUAGAUAUCAGAAGGAACGCCGGCGGCGAAAGCGACUCUCUGGCCUAUUACUGACACUCAGUGUGCGAAAGCUAGGGGAGCAAACGGGAUUAGAUACCCCGGUAGUCCUAGCCGUAAACGAUGGGCACUAAGUAGAGGGGUUUU